CAGUAGCCGCGGUAAUACGUAGGUCCCGAGCGUUAUCCGGAUUUAUUGGGCGUAAAGCGAGCGCAGGCGGUUAGAUAAGUCUGAAGUUAAAGGCUGUGGCUUAACCAUAGUACGCUUUGGAAACUGUUUAACUUGAGUGCAGAAGGGGAGAGUGGAAUUCCAUGUGUAGCGGUGAAAUGCGUAGAUAUAUGGAGGAACACCGGUGGCGAAAGCGGCUCUCUGGUCUGUAACUGACGCUGAGGCUCGAAAGCGUGGGGAGCAAACAGGAUUAGAUACCCCUGUAGUCCCUGUCUCUUAUACA
rnacentral:rRNA from 1 species